GGCGAACCGGGAGAACUGAAACAUCUAAGUACCCCGAGGAAAAGAAAUCAACCGAGAUUCCCUCAGUAGCGGCGAGCGAACGGGGAUUAGCCCUUAAGCAUCUUGGAAGUUAGUGGAACGGUCCUGGAAAGGCCGGCGAUACAGGGUGAUAGCCCCGUACACGAAAACAACCUUGAUGUGAAAUCGAGUAGGGCGGGACACGUGACAUCCUGUCUGAAUAUGGGGGGACCAUCCUCCAAGGCUAAAUACUCCUGACUGACCGAUAGUGAACCAGUACCGUGAGGGAAAGGCGAAAAGAACCCCUGUGAGGGGAGUGAAAUAGAACCUGAAACCGUGUACGUACAAGCAGUGGGAGCCCUUCGGGGUGACUGCGUACCUUUUGUAUAAUGGGUCAGCGACUUACAUUUUGUAGCGAGGUUAACCGUAUAGGGGAGCCGUAGGGAAACCGAGUCUUAACUGGGCGUCUAGUUGCAAGGUGUAGACCCGAAACCGGGUGAUCUAGCCAUGGGCAGGUUGAAGGUUGAGUAACAUCAACUGGAGGACCGAACCCACUAACGUUGCAAAGUUAGGGGAUGACCUGUGGCUGGGGGUGAAAGGCCAAUCAAACUCGGAGAUAGCUGGUUCUCCCCGAAAGCUAUUUAGGUAGCGCCUCGGACGAAUACUACUGGGGGUAGAGCACUGUUUGGGCUAGGGGGUCAUCCCGACUUACCAACCCCAUGCAAACUCCGAAUACCAGUAAGUAAUAUCCGGGAGACACACGGCGGGUGCUAACGUCCGUCGUGAAGAGGGAAACAACCCAGACCGCCGGCUAAGGUCCCAAAGUUCUGGUUAAGUGGGAAACGAUGUGGGAAGGCUCAGACAGCUAGGAUGUUGGCUUAGAAGCAGCCAUCAUUUAAAGAAAGCGUAAUAGCUCACUAGUCGAGUCGGCCUGCGCGGAAGAUGUAACGGGGCUCAAACCAGGCACCGAAGCCGCGGAUUCACGCUAAGCGUGAGUGGUAGGGGAGCGUUCUGUAAGUCUGCGAAGGUGUAUCGAGAGGUAUGCUGGAGAUAUCAGAAGUGCGAAUGCUGACGUAAGUAACGAUAAAGGGGGUGAAAAGCCUCCUCGCCGGAAGACCAAGGGUUCCUGUCCAACGUUAAUCGGGGCAGGGUGAGUCGACCCCUAAGGCGAGGCCGAAAGGCGUAGUCGAUGGGAAGCAGGUUAAUAUUCCUGCACGACUUGUAAUUGCGAUGGGGGGACGGAGAAGGCUAGGUGGGCCAGGCGACGGUUGUCCUGGUGAAAGUGCGUAGGUGGUGUUUCUAGGCAAAUCCGGAGACACAACACUGAGACACGAGACGAACGCACUACGGUGCGGAAGCCAUUGAUGCCCUGCUUCCAGGAAAAGCCUCUAAGCUUCAGAUUACAAGUCAUCGUACCCCAAACCGACACAGGUGGUCGGGUAGAGAAUACCAAGGCGCUUGAGAGAACUCGGGUGAAGGAACUAGGCAAAAUAGAACCGUAACUUCGGGAGAAGGUUCGCUCUUGACAGUGAAGUCCCUUGCGGAUGGAGCAGUUGGGAGUCGCAGUGACCAGAUGGCUGGGACUGUUUAUCAAAAACACAGCACUCUGCAAACACGAAAGUGGACGUAUAGGGUGUGACACCUGCCCGGUGCCGGAAGGUUAAUUGAUGGGGUUAGCGCAAGCGAAGCUCUUGAUCGAAGCCCCGGUAAACGGCGGCCGUAACUAUAACGGUCCUAAGGUAGCGAAAUUCCUUGUCGGGUAAGUUCCGACCUGCACGAAUGGUGUAACCAUGGCCAUGCUGUCUCCACCCGAGACUCAGUGAAAUCGAAUUCGCCGUGAAGAUGCGGUGUACCCGCGGCUAGACGGAAAGACCCCGUGAACCUUUACUACAGCUUGGCACUGAACAUUGAACCUACAUGUGUAGGAUAGGUGGGAGGCUUUGAAGGCGUGACGCCAGUUGCGCUGGAGCCGUCCUUGAAAUACCACCCUUGUAUGU
rnacentral:rRNA from 1 species